rnacentral:rRNA from 1 species
UACAGAGGGUGCAAGCGUUAAUCGGAAUUACUGGGCGUAAAGCGUGCGCAGACGGUUGCGUAAGUCAGAUGUGAAAGCCCCGGGCUCAACCUGGGAAUUGCAUUUGAGACUGCGUAGCUAGGGUGCGGAAGAGGGAAGCGGAAUUUCCGGUGUGAGCGGUGAAAUGACGUAGAUAUCGGAAGGAACACCAGUGGCGAAGGCGGCUACCUGGCCCACUCUUGACGCUGAGGCGCGAAAGCUAGGGGAGCAAACGGG